GAUGAAGAACGUAGCGAAAUGCGAUACGUAGUGUGAAUUGCAGAAUUCAGUGAAUCAUCGAAUCUUUGAACGCACAUUGCACCUCUCGGUAUUCCGGGAGGUAUGCCUGUUCGAGCGUCAUUUGUACCCUCAAGCUCUGCUUGGUGUUGGGUGUUUGUUCCGCCUCUGUGUGUGAACUCGCCUCAAAACAAUUGGCAGCCGGCGUACUUGUUUCGGAGCGCAGCACAUUUUGCGAUCCAGAUCAACGUACAGCGGCAUCCAAGAAGCCUUAUUUAACGCUCUUGACCUCGGAUCAGGUAGGGAUACCCGCUGAACUUAAGCAUAUCAAGCGGAGGA
rnacentral:misc_RNA from 1 species